UUCACAGGCGACCAUCUUGUGCUCGGGUUGAUUCUAAACUUCACGCAGACGCACAGUGACCUACAACUGCUUGAAAAUAGCACAUAGAGAUGUGAUUUACGAGUGUACUGACAGUACCACGUGGUUCGACCGUGUCCUUGACAUUCGCUAGGUUUGUUACACAUACACUAAACUAUAAACAGAUACUUUUAGUUGUCAGCGAUUGCGUGUAAGGAAAGCGGACUCGUGUAGGAGUAAACUAACCGAAUGAAAAUAGCGCACAGGAGUGUGAGACGAGAACUUCCAGGGCAGGAGAAAAUACAGUCGAGAGGAACUUAAGAUUCCACCUGUAAGCAGAAUCGAGUAUGAAAGAAGAUUUGGCUGUCGGCUUCGCCGGAAGGCUCGUAGCGAACGUCAGCCACCGUUGAACGCUGUGGUUUUGUCUAAUCUUGGUCUGGAGGGAACCAUGAAUGUGUGCCGCGGCUGCCAGAACGCGCCCUAACCGUGGCGGAGUGAGCAGCGGGAUGGAGAAGGAGAGCGACGUGGAGCGCGGCGCCGACAAGUCCGCG